UCUUUAUAUGUUUACAUAUUAUAUAUAUAUCAUGUAUAUUAGAUCCAGAUUCAUAUUUCUUUCUCUACUUGUUCAAUCUACAACAAAAACAUGUUAGAGGCUAAUUAGUCAGAAGAAUGAAUAUUUACUUAUUUUUCGAUAAAAGUUAUACGGAUGAAGAUGAUGUGGAAAAUUUAAAGUUUCUAAAGUUUGCAGAUUGAUACUUAAGGAAGGAGCAAGCGGCACUUUAUAGGGCACCUUCAACAACAAUUUUUACAAAAGGGAGUGGAUUUAUACCAAUGUGAAACCGAGUAUAGAAAGAUAACUCAAAUAUUCUGCUACUGGACAAACAAGGUUGGUGCUGAAAAUAAUUUGUUACAUUAUAUUAUCAAGUCGUGGACUUAGCUUGGAAUGAUGCCUCACUUUCUCACUUGAUGAGGUAUUUAAAGAUUCAAGAAUUUGACCAGGUUGUAUACUCCAUUGCAAGUAAACUUACUUUGAUUAGUUUACGGCUUGAUACACAAGAAUGAAGUGAAGGAUUAGUCGGCAUAUUAUUUGGUACAUUGGGUUCACAACUACGUACAAGUAGACAAAAGAGUGUUUCGAAGGUGUCAUCUCUUCCAGGAUAGCUUGCUAACUGAACACCACAUAUCCUGAAGUUGCGGGUACCAUGUGAUUUGAAGACGAUUUUAAGCAGAGCCACGUCACCACCAGCAACAAGUAUUAUAAGUAACAAGCACAAAACAUCACAAGGAAACGUAAACAGUGUGCUCUUGUCUCUUGAUCCUGUAUUAUGGAGCUGAUCCCUGUUGUGAAGGUUCUUACUUAUCUUUCCAUUGUGGGUCAAAUGGCUAUGCUCCGGUGUAAACAAUCGAAUGAAGAAAUUAAUCGAUGGUCCCAAAAACCGAAGAACGACUGAUCUUUGCCACUAUUUACUACUGAUUCUGAAAACAUUUAGAAGUUGCAAUAUUGCUAAUUUAAUGUCAAAAGGGAGUAAGAGGUUGAGGUUCGAAGAACAGUUGAUUAUUGGUUUUUGAACACGGUUCUUUCGCCCAAGUACAAUUUAACUUGAUAUUAUCUAUCUUGAGAGGCAAGGGGCAAGUGGUGGAGGGUGAUAGAAAACAUUUUGAAUAUCAAUAGUCUUUCAAAAGUGCUAUUACAUCCGAUCAUUUGAUAGUAACUAUUGUUUCUAUUUUUGGAAGACUAUUGGUAUUGUAAUUUUGGUUGAUAUAAUGGGUUGGUUGGAGUUAAUGAGCAAUAUUGACUUUGGUAAAA